rnacentral:rRNA from 1 species
UACGUAGGGUGCAAGCGUUGUCCGGAAUUAUUGGGCGUAAAGAGCUCGUAGGCGGUUUGUUGCGUCGGCUGUGAAAUCCCGAGGCUCAACCUCGGGUCUGCAGUCGAUACGAGCAAACUAGAGUGUUGCAGGGGAGACUGGAAUUCCUGGUGUAGCGGUGAAAUGCGCAGAUAUCAGGAGGAACACCGGUGGCGAAGGCGGGUCUCUGGGCCGAAACUGACGCUGAGGAGCGAAAGCGUGGGGAGCGAACAGG